rnacentral:rRNA from 1 species
GAUGAACGCUAGCGGCAGGCCUAAUACAUGCAAGUCGAACGGUGUCUUCGGACAUAGUGGCGCACGGGUGCGUAACACGUAUGCAACCUACCUUACAUUGGGGGAUAGCCUUUCGAAAGGGAGAUUAAUACCGCAUAAGACAGUAGCUGGGCAUCCAGCAGCUGGUAAGGAUUUAUAGAUGUAAGCUGGGCAUGCGUCCAAUUAGCUAGUUGGUGAGGUAACGGCUCACCAAGGCAAUGAUUGGUAGGGGAACUGAGAGGUCAAUCCCCCACACUGGCACUGAGAUACGGGCCAGACUCCUACGGGAGGCAGCAGUAGGGAAUAUUGGGCAAUGGACGCAAGUCUGACCCAGCCAUGCCGCGUGCAGGAUGAAGGCGUUAUGCGUUGUAAACUGCUUUUAUACAGGAAGAAACGACUCUUGCGAGAGGCAUUGACGGUACUGUAUGAAUAAGCACCGGCUAACUCCGUGCCAGCCGCCGCCGUAAGAC